GAUUCUUGUUGGGCAAUUGAUUCGCAUUAUGCGGGUAGGAAAGUCCGAACACCAAAGAGCAGGGUGCCGGGUAACACCCGGGAUCUCUUUAGUGAGAUACGGAAAGUGCCACAGAAAAUACACCGCCCCGAAGUAAUUCGAGGUAAGGGUGAAAAGGCGAGGUAAGAGCUCACCGCUUCAAUAGUAAUAUUGAAGGCAGGGCAAACCCCACCUGGUGCAAGGUCAAGCAGAAAGUUUUCAUCUUUUGAUGAACAAAGUUGCUCGCUUUGAAUUCCUUUUGGAGUUGACUUUCGGGUAGACCGCUGGAUUCCGAAAGUAAUUUCGGAACAAGAUAAAUAAUUGCUACCUUGAUUUUUCAAGGAACAGAAUUCGGCUUAUAGACAAGAAUCAUUU
rnacentral:RNase_P_RNA from 1 species